rnacentral:lncRNA from 13 species
CCACAUUUUCCCUGUCCAGUCUAUCAUCGAUGGGCAUUUGGGUUGGUUCCAGGUCUUUGCUAUUGUAAACAGUGCUGCAAUGAACAUUCGUGUGCAUGUGUCCUUGUAACAGAAUGAUUUAUAGUCCUUUGGAUAUAUACCCAGUAAUGGGAUUGCUGGGUCAAAUGGAAUUUCUAUUUCUAGGUCCUUGAGGAAUCGCCACACUGUCUUCCCCAAUGGUUGAACUAAUUUACACUCCCGCCAACAGUGUAAAAGUGUUCCUAUUUCUCCACAUACUCUCCAGCAUCUGUUGUCUCCAGAUUUUUUAAUUAUCGCCAUUCUAACUGGCGUGAGAUGGUAUCUCAAUGUAGUUUUGAUUUGCAUCUCUCUGAUGACCAGUGAUGAUGAGCAUUUUCUCAGAUGUUUGUUGGCCUCAUGUAUGUCUUCUUUUGUAAAGGGUCUGUUCAUAUCCUUCACCCACUUUUGAAUGGGUUUGUUUGUUUUUUUCUUAUAAAUCUGUUUUAGUUCUUUGUAAAUUCUGGAUAUCAUCCCUUUGUCAGAUGGGUAAACUGCAAAAAGUUUUUCCCAUUCUGUUAGUUACCGAUUCACUCUAAUGACUGUUUCUUCUGUGUUUUGUUUUUUUUGAGAGGGAGUCUUGCUCUGUCACCCAGGCUGGAGUUCAAUGGCACAAUCUUGGCUCACUGCAACCUCUGCCUCCUGGGCUCAAGUGAUUUUCUCCUGCCUCAGCCUCCUGAGCAGCUGGAUUACAGAACAUCUGGGAAGGAUGGAACCUGGACACGUGGAUUUCCCUGCCUCCAGGCUGCUGAAUUCUGUCUUGAGUUCACACGAAAGGUGGCCUUGCUUCUAGAACUGUGGCAACUUCAUGCAAGUCAGAUCUAAGUGCUCCUUCCACAAGACACACCACUUCCACCCAGCAGAAAACCGAGCAAAGAUGCGGAUGGACAAGGUCUGUGCUGAGGGUAGCGCUCCCGGGGCGCAGCCCACUCCUGGGAAGCAAAAAGCAUGCUGAUGUGGGGCGCAGCUUCCACCGAAAUCCAGGCAAACGCUGAACCUGGAGUGUUUCUCUUUAGGUUGUAUCAAUAAUUUCAUAAAGGAACCGAGGGGAGGAGUUGCUACGGAUUGAAUGUCCAUGUUUCCCCGGAAUUCAUGUACGGAAACUCUCACCUCCAAUGUGAUGGUUUUAGGA